GUGAUAUUAUCACGAAUGGUCAGGGAAACUGAUUGUCCAUUGACACUCAGUUUCACAGUGAAAAUUCAGCUUUCCUAAUUUCCAGACUUCUUCCCAGGCCCAGUUGAAGAACCAUAUCCUUUAUGAAGCUGCCCCUGACUCUCUUCCUUUUCUAAAUGGCUACAGUAUUCAUGGCCCUUGCCCCACCAUAGCCCACUUGGUACAUACAUUGCAUUUUUGUGUAUGCUCCAACUCCUGGAAAUCAUGUAAAGUUGUAUAUGUCUUCAUAUAAUGAGAACUUAAUAAAUUAUUUCAUGGAAUACAUCAAAGACCCAAGACCAAAUUAAAAGGUCUACACCCGAAGUAAAAACUUUUAAAGAUCCUUUA